AAUCAUUUGUCUUUUAAAUGAAGACUUGUAUGAACGGCAAAACCUCCUCCAACUGUCUCCCCUCCCAUCCUUCCAAAUUUCCUCCUGCGUGAAGAAGCACAGAUACACCAGAAAGACGAGAAGACCCUGUCGAGCUUUAACCACUAAGUGGGCCUUACCCUUUCAGGCACCACCCAAAGGUUUUGGUUGGGGCAACCACGGAGAAAAAACAUCCUCCAGAACGAAUAGAAGAAAGCUUUUCACUAUUAUUACGACUAAGAACCAGGAACUGGUAUUCGGAAAGAGUUACCGCAGGGAUAACAGCGUCAUCUCCUCUAAGAGUCCUUAUUGACGAGGAGGUUUGCGACCUCGAUGUUGGAUUGGGGCCCCCUUAGGGUGCAGAAGCUCUAAACGGUUAGACUGUUCGUCUAUUAAAGCCCUACAUGAUCUGAGUUCAAACCGGAG
rnacentral:rRNA from 1 species